rnacentral:rRNA from 1 species
AAUGAACGCUGGCGGCAUGCCUAACACAUGCAAGUCGAACGAAGGCUUCGGCCUUAGUGGCGCACGGGUGCGUAACGCGUGGGAAUCUGCCCUCAGGUUCGGAAUAACAGCGAGAAAUUGCUGCUAAUAUCGGAUGAUAUCGCGAGAUCAAAGAUUUAUCGCCUGAGGAUGAGCCCGCGUAGGAUUAGCUAGUUGGUGUGGUAAAGGCGCACCAAGGCGACGAUCCUUAGCUGGUCUGAGAGGAUGAUCAGCCACACUGGGACUGAGACACGGCCCAGACUCCUACGGGGGGCAGCAGUGGGGAAUAUUGGACAAUGGGCGAAGGUCUGAUACAGCAAGGCCGCGUGAGUGAUGAAGGCCUUAGGGUUGUCAAGCUCUUUUACCCGGGAUGAUAAUGACAGUACCGGGAGAAUAAGCUCCGGCUAACUCCGUGCCAGCCGCCGCCGUAA